rnacentral:rRNA from 1 species
UACGUAGGCAGCGAGCGUUGUUCGGAGUUACUGGGCGUAAAGGGUGCGUAGGCGGUUGUUUAAGUUUGGUGUGAAAUCUCCCGGCUCAACUGGGAGGGUGCGCCGAAUACUGAAUAACUAGAGUGCGGGAGAGGAGAGUGGAAUUCCUGGUGUAGCGGUGAAAUGCGUAGAUAUCAGGAGGAACACCGGUGGUGUAGACGGCUCUCUGGACCGUAACUGACGCUGAGGCACGAAAGCGUGGGUAGCAAACAGG